GAGUUUGCUUGUUGAAUAUGAUUAUCAGCUGCCACUUUUUUGUUUUCCAGAUUUGGUGCAGAGUAGCAGAUGUACCUUCCCUCUGGUGUGCCGGGUGACUCUUCUGUUUCACGGUCCCAGUUGUCUGUGGGCAAACACACAAAUUAAAAAGAGGAGGAGGGGGCUGUGUGCCCUGCUUGGGCAGGCUCUGCACAGCUCUGGGUAGCUGUGGAGGAUGCAGUGUGCAUCACUCCGUGAAAAAGAUCCUGUAGCAUCAGCUCCCUCCCUGCUCCAGACAGAUGAUAACUGGCAUUUGUCAGAAGCUGCACAAUGCAAUAAUGGUGUGGAGCACAGAACUGGAUGAGAGGCAGAGAAUGGAGACAGGAGGAGAGGCGAUGCCCAGGCAGCAGUGUGGAGAACUCAGCUGGAGCUGCAGCUGAGAAGUGAAGGCAGCAAUACAAGAAACCCUUCUGCACCUGCAGUGGAGGAGGAGGUGGU
rnacentral:lncRNA from 1 species